rnacentral:rRNA from 1 species
GAUGAACGCUGGCGGCGUGCUUAACACAUGCAAGUCGAACGGAAAGGCUCCUGCUUGCAGGGGUACUCGAGCGGCGAACGGGUGAGUAACACGUGGGUGAUCUGCCCUGCACUUCGGGAUAAGCCUGGGAAACUGGGUCUAAUACCGGAUAGGACCACAUUUUGGAUGGUGUGGUGGAAAGUUUUUCGGUGUGGGAUGAGCUCGCGGCCUAUCAGCUUGUUGGUGGGGUAAUGGCCUACCAAGGCGUCGACGGGUAGCCGGCCUGAGAGGGUGUACGGCCACAUUGGGACUGAGAUACGGCCCAGACUCCUACGGGAGGCAGCAGUGGGGAAUAUUGCACAAUGGGCGCAAGCCUGAUGCAGCGACGCCGCGUGGGGGAUGACGGCCUUCGGGUUGUAAACUCCUUUCGCUAGGGACGAAGCGCAAGUGACGGUACCUGGAGAAGAAGCGCCGGCUAACUACGUG